GGCUGAUGGACAUGGUCAGACUUCUCACCUUCUGAUGGCUUUUGUCAGGUGUUCCAGCAUCUCUUAAGUGCAGCAUCUUUGGGACUUCGUGAAGAGGAGGAAUUAUGCUGGUGAACAGAGCUGGUGGGAUUUACCUAUCGACAUAGACAAUGAGCUGUUCGAAGACACGAGGAUGUGGGAUGUAUCCUGUCGCAGCGUCUGGUAGAAGGGAGUCCUAAGGGACAUACGAAGAAUCUAGAAGUAGCCUGUUCCCUGAUAGUUUUUUAAAUGCGGUGACCCCCAUCAAGGACUUCUGCUUCAGCAAUAUACUUCCAUCACUAAAGAUGCUGCUAAGAAUAUAUAGUUGGCUAGAUUACUAUUGCCAGUGAUGGAAUAUUCAAAAUCUAAUCAGUUUUCAGUUCAAGGAAAUAACCGCUAAUAAA